rnacentral:miRNA from 1 species
UCUAUCUACCAUGCUCCCUCGCGGGUCCCACAAUUCCCAGCACAGGAUACUGAUACACUGAUUUUGCUGGGAAUUGUGGGAACCACGAGGGAGCAUGGUAGACAU